rnacentral:lncRNA from 1 species
GGAAACCUCAGUUUGGCCUUGCCUCCAUGGAAUCGGCCUGUGGGCAUGUCUAUGGAUGUGUAUUGAGCAUCUUCUGCUUCGGGAUGAGGUGUUGAUCAGGGAUGCAAGUGCAACAAGCCACAGAGGCAGAUCUCUGCCUUAUGUUUUAAUUAGGAGGUCUGAGAGACCCGUGACAAAAGCAUCAUGGAUAAUUAAAGCAUCUCACUGGCUUCUGUUGUCGUUAGAAUAAAAACGAACAUAUUUAA